rnacentral:lncRNA from 1 species
CUACACAUGAGCUUUCGACGAUAUGGUACGUGUAGAUAUGGCUGUGUUUUAGGCUGCUGUUGAGAUUUCUGAGUAACCCUUCAAUAAAGGUAACUGUUGGCAGCAAAUUCUUUAGUAGAGAAGUAGAAAACCAAAAGCUAGCAGAUAUAUAUGAGCAGAACACCCACCACUACCCGGUCUCCUUCAAUGAAAUUCCUGAUGGAUGUACAUGGUAUGAGUUUUGACGCAAUGCACAGGUAAUGUUUCUCAUGACAUGAUCAAACUCAAAGUGUAGAUGAGCUACAAUUGAUGAAGAGUUACAUUCAUGACUUUGACAAGCAAUUUUAUUCUCAACUUCAUGCAUACAGGAAAACAUCCAGUUGUAUUUGGCCCUUAAAACUUGAAAAACUGGAAGGAACGACAAGUAAUAAGCAAACAACUGAUUGAGCAAUAUUUAGCAAGAAAAAGAGAUCUAGGCUUAUUUAUAGGCUUAUUAUUGAGUAAUUAAAAUUUAAUCGAGAUAAAAGUUGAGAUUACAAGUAAUGAG